rnacentral:rRNA from 1 species
GAUUAACGCUAGCGGCAGGCCUAAUACAUGCAAGUUGUACGGGAUUAUUGGUAGCAAUACUGAUAUGAGAGUAGCGCACGGGUGCGUAACACGUAUGCAACCUACCUUUAACUGGGGAAUAGCUCACCGAAAGGUGAAUUAACACCGCAUAAAAUCACAGAAGGACAUCCUUUAAUGAUUAAAUCUCCGGAGGUUAAAGAUGGGCAUGCGUCCGAUUAGCUAGUUGGCGGGGUAAUAGCCCACCAAGGCAACGAUCGGUAGGGGGUCGU